UCGCGGCUUAUCACCGGCAGUCUCCUUAGAGUGCUCAACUAAAUGGUAGCAACUAAGGACGGGGGUUGCGCUCGUUGCGGGACUUAACCCAACAUCUCACGACACGAGCUGACGACAGCCAUGCAGCACCUGUGCAGGAACUCCGAAGAGGGCCCCUCGUUUCUGAAGGGUUUCUCCUGCAUGUCAAGCCCAGGUAAGGUUCUUCGCGUUGCGUCGAAUUAAACCACAUGCUCCACCGCUUGUGCGGGCCCCCGUCAAUUCCUUUGAGUUUCAGUCUUGCGACCGUACUCCCCAGGCGCAGGACUUAACGCGUUAGCUACGGGACGACCCGCCUACGCGGGCCACCCCAAGUCCUGAUGGUUUAGGGCUAGGACUAC
rnacentral:misc_RNA from 1 species